CCCUACUGCUAUCGGGGUGGGACUAAGACAUGCGAGUCGAGCGUCUCUAGCUAUGUUGAGACGCGGCAGACGGCUCAGUAACACGUGGCUAACCUACCUUCAGGACGAGGACAAACCCGGGAAACUGGGGCUAAUACUCGAUAGGUGAGUAUGUCUGGAAUGAUUUCUCACUCAAAGGGCUUUAGAAACAUGCUUCUAAAGUCGCCUGGGGAUGGGGCCGCGUCCGAUCAGGUUMUUGGUGAGGUAAUGGCUCACCAAGCCUAUAACCGGUACGGGCCGUGAGAGCGGUAGCCCGGAGAUGGGUACUGAGACAAGGACCCAGGCCCCACGGGGCGCAGCAGUCGCGAAAACUCCGCAAUGCACGAAAGUGUGACGGGGGCUACCCCGAGUGCCAUCCGCUGAGGAUGGCUUUUCCUUGGUAUAACUAGCCGAGGGAAUAAGGAGAGGGCAAGACUGGUGUCAGCCGCCGCGGUAAUACCAGCUCUCCGAGUGGUAGGGAUGAUUAUUGGGCUUAAAGCGUCCGUAGCCGGCUUAGCAAGUCUCCUGUUAAAUUCAGCGACCUAAUCGUUGAGCCGCGGGAGAUACUACUAGGCUAGGGAGUGGGAGAGGUAGACGGUACUCGGGAGGAAGGGGUAAAAUCCUUUGAUCUCUCGAUGACCACCUGUGGCGAAGGCGGUCUACCAGAACACGUCCGACGGUGAGGGAUGAAAGCUGGGGGAGCAAACCGGAUUAGAUACCCGGGUAGUCCCAGCUGUAAACUAUGCAAACUCAGUGAUGCAUUGGCUUGAUGCCAAUGCAGUGUUGCAGGGAAGCCGUUAAGUUUGCCGCCUGGGAAGUACGUACGCAAGUAUGAAACUUAAAGGAAUUGGCGGGGGAGCACCACAAGGGGUGAAGCCUGCGGUUC
rnacentral:rRNA from 1 species